rnacentral:RNase_MRP_RNA from 14 species
GCGCGGAGCCGCAGCACUUGGCUUGGGUCGGUCGCAGCAGCACAGACAUGCCGUGAGCGCCCAGUGGGGCGCCAACAGAACGGGGCUCACUCUCC